rnacentral:tRNA from 1 species
GCCUCCGUAGCUCAGUGGUAGAGCGACUGACUUGUAAUCAGUAGGUCGGGGGUUCAACUCCCCCCGGGGGCU